UUUUAUACUAUUACCAUGUGCUUUGCGAACUGGAAAAUAGCGUAUACCUUUGAAUUGUUAUCAUUUGUAUCGUAUACACUCGACACAAUUCUUUCUUUUGACGUUGUAUACUUUAGCUUAUAUGUACUUAAAUAUUAGAAAUAUUUUAUAUUCAUUUCCUCUUAUUAAUCAGUGGCGUGUAAAUUACUUUUUCCUCGUGUUCAACGUAUGUUCGUAUCCAAUAUGGUAUUGUCACUACAAUACAAAUAGGUCUUCAGAAAAGCGGUACUCGAUCAGUGGCGUAGCAAGGUAACCAAGAGCCCUGGGGAUUUGAGGCCCCCCUGACCUUGAGGGCCUCUAGGCACUGCCCCGUCUAGCCCCUUGGUAGUUACUCAAUGUGGAACCCGCGCAAUGGGAUGGCCUGUGCUAGUAUGGUAAAUCCAAAUCGUAGGAACAUGCGUUGAGCUUCUUCUUUUUUUUUUGCAUACACUGCCUUUUCCAGAAUAGGGCACCUUUUUAUCAAUUAAAAUUAGAUCUGAAAUGCAGCGGAAGAGUUGUGGUUUAAGUGUAAAGCGUUUAGUUCUGUCAUGGAAGACAGCGCUCAACUUUUCUUAUAACUUCAAUUCACUAUUCCAGAAAUAGGCUUAAGGGCCAGCCGAGUUUAAAAUCAGAUUAGAUAUGUAUGUACUUAAAAUAAUGCGGUUUUCAUUCCAAAAGAGAACAGACAUGCAGACAGAAUAGCUAAAGGAAAGAGAACAUGAGCAAGCACAACAAUGUUUAAUUGUAAUCGGGCACCAAAGGACGCCACACUUGUAUUGUGCAUUUCAUAUAUACGAGUAUGUUAACGUGUGCAUGUGUAGUAGUAUUGUCUUUAUAGAACUGGGGAAGUAUCGCUAAGUGUAGGUGUUUUAGUUUUGCCUAUCUGUUUUUUGAUCCUUGUAGUGUUUUAAAAGUAGGUUUUAAUGGUGGCAUUCAUAUGUAGUGAUUAGUUUUCGGUAGUAAUCAUGUGUAGUAUUUAGAAUCCGACCGAAAUUGGUUUCUCAGCCGAAACAGAAACCGAAAUUUCGGUCCUGGCCUCAGUUUCGGCCUAAACCGAAACUGUAACUUACACAAUCAUAUUUAAUUUAAGUUUUUAUAAUGCAAUUAAAUUAUUUACAACAGUAUUAAGCAGUAAAGUGAAGUAAUUGAAGAUAGAUUAGAAAUUUUUGGGUUUGGGAAUUUCGAGAACAUAUGUUUGGUUGAGGAUUCCUUUAAACUUCUUUCGUGUGUGACUUCAAAAUUAAACUAUGAUAAAAUUCAUGAACACUGAGUUUCGGUCUAACGGACGAACGAAAUGUCCUUGGACAACGAUUCUUUUAUCAGAUUGUAAGUACUGAAUUUGUAUAUCAGUCACAUUUAUAAUUUAUAGGAUUAGCAUACAGGAAAACUGCAAAAAUGUAAUAUUUGUACUUUGAUGUGCUAAUUUUCGGUUGUUUUAGGUGUCUAGCAGGCGAAUAAAUUGUUCUAGGACAACGAUUCUUUCAUCAGAUUGUGCCUAGCAGGCGAACAAAUUGUCCUAGGACAACGUUUCUUUUAUCAGAUUGUGUCUAGCAGGCGAACAAAUUGCCCUAGGACAACGAUUCUUUCAUCAGAUUGUAUCUAGCAGGCGAACAAAUUGCCCUAGGACAACGAUUCUUUCAUCAGAUUAUGAGUGGCUAGCGGGCGAACGGAAUAUCCUAGGACAAUUUGAUCAAAUUGCGUCUAGCGGCGAACGCGAUGUCGUAGAACAACCAUUCUUUCAUAAGUCUUUCAUAAUUCAAAUUGUAUACCAUUGUUAUAUACAACAUUUGAAGAAGAAAAUAAUACAACAUUUGUGUUUAAUACAAGCGGAACCAACAUAUGUGGUAUUUUUCCACAGUAAGUUAAUUAAAAUCCUUGCUUUCAAAUAAUGUUGUAAACUGAUAAAUUUAUAACUUGCAAUAUAUUAGUAAUAGCAUUUUGGUCGUGCGCAGAUAGAAGAAUGCCCCUCCAACUGCGGGUCGGUUAUCAAUUCUCUUACCUGCUUAUUCCGGCUUAGUCGGUUCGGCGCUGUCUCGUGGUGCGCACGUGUUUUGUUCAUUCAUCAAACAUGGUGACGAUUUUACGCGUGUCUUAAUAUUUUAAUUCUGUAGUAAUACUAGAAUCGGUUGACCAUCAGAGACAUUUAGUAAUAACAGCCCAGUGUAGACACAACGAGUUAUUUGAGUGAUCCUUUACGAUGCGUGCGUGGCGUCCGUCGGAUAUGUUCCGAUGCCUAUGUGUUUGAUGUGAGAAAAAGUUUUCCAAUUGCGAUAUCCGCGUGGAAUAGUAAAGUAGUGCGUAUCAUCAAUUCUACUUACAAUUUGCGGAAUGGUGUUAGUGCGCUUUAGUUUAUUAUGGAUGGAAGAACAAAGAAGUAAGUAACAGGAAGUAAAACUUUACUUUUAUUUAACUUUUUAAAUCUUUCAGGUAUCAUUACUGCUGAAUAACAAUUGUAAAUGAUUCAGUUAAUAAAAUAUAAUUUAAUCUUA